GAAAGUCCGUCCGGCGGAAACGCCGGCCUACCUUCAAACCACUGUGAAACACCCAAAACGUUGCCUCGCGGCCUGUGCCUGGCGCCCGAGAGGCCGCCCGGCGCUGUCAGUCCGCAGAGGCCCAAACCAAAAACCAUUUUCUGUAACGGUCUGUCUGAUACAAAUGAAUUAAAAUUCGUUA
rnacentral:misc_RNA from 1 species